GAGAGAGAGAGAGAGAGAGAUACCAAGGAAGGGGAUUAAAGGAAUAUGUUCUUUUUCUUGAAAUCCUUGUCAAGAUCAGUCCAUGAUGAAGAACAACACCAUCAAGAAUCAGAGAUCAAGAUUACUACAGAUGGGAUUGGGACGUGUGCUUCAUUAACAGUAUGGAGAAAGUCUCUUAUAAUUAAUUGCAGUGGAUUUACAGUGAUUAAUUCCCAUGGAGAUUUAGCUUAUCGGGUUGACAAUUAUAUUGCUCAUCCCGAUGAACUUAUUCUCAUGGAUGGCUCUGGGAAAUCCAUCCUCACAAUGCAUCGUCACAAGAAGCUUGGAUUAGGAGAGAGCUGGCUUAUAUAUGAAGGGGAAAUGGGUGAAUGUUGUUCAAGAACAAAAUUAUCAAAGAAGCCAAUUUGGAGUGUAAAGAAGCAUAUUCAAAUUCUAAAAGCAAAUCAGAAUAAUAUACUAGCAUAUGUUUUUCGAGGAACCAUAGAUCGGAAAAGGCAUUCAUAUGUGAUAGAAGGUUCGUAUGCACACAGAUCAUGUAAAGUACUGGAUGAGUCAAGGAGGGUGGUGGCUGAGAUCAAGAGGAAAGAAGCCAUAACUGGAGGAGUUUCUUUUGGGAUAGAAGUUUUUGUUUUGAUCGUACAGCCAGGGUUUGAUCCUGGAUUUGCCAUGGCUCUGGUUUUGAUAUUGGAUCAGAUGUUCUCAUGAAUUUUUAAUGUUAUUUGUUUUUUAAAUAAGGAUAUAGUUUGUGUUCGGUGUAUAUUAUUUAUUAAUAGAUAAGUAAUUAAGGAAAGCCG
rnacentral:misc_RNA from 1 species